UACGUAGGGGGCAAGCGUUGUCCGGAAUCAUUGGGCGUAAAGAGCGUGUAGGCGGCUCGGUAAGUCCGCUGUGAAAGUCCAGGGCUCAACCCUGGAAUGCCGGUGGAAACUGUCGAGCUAGGGUCCGGAAGAGGCGAGUGGAAUUCCUGGUGUAGCGGUGAAAUGCGCAGAUAUCAGGAGGAGCACCAAUGGCGAAGGCAGCUCGCUGGGACGGUACUGACGCAGAGACGCGAAAGCGUGGGGAGCAAACAGG
rnacentral:rRNA from 1 species